rnacentral:rRNA from 1 species
UAGGGAAUCUUCCGCAAUGGGCGAAAGCCUGACGGAGCAACGCCGCGUGAGUGAUGAAGGUCUUCGGAUCGUAAAACUCUGUUAUUAGGGAAGAACAAAUGUGUAAGUAACUAUGCACGUCUUGACGGUCCCUAAUCAGAAAGCCACGGCUAACUACGUGCCAGCAGCCGCGGUAAUACGUAGGCGGCAAGCGUUAUCCGGAAUUAUUGGGCGUAAAGCGCGCGUAGGCGGUUUUUUAAGUCUGAUGUGAAAGCCCACGGCUCAACCGUGGAGGGUCAUUGGAAACUGGAAAACUUGAGUGCAGAAGAGGAAAGUGGAAUUCCAUGUGUAGCGGUGAAAUGCGCAGAGAUAUGGAGGAACACCAGUGGCGAAGGCGACUUUCUGGUCUGUAACUGACGCUGAUGUGCGAAAGCGUGGGGAUCAAACAGG